CCACUGCCUAGCCUGGCGGGAACUGCGGGGCCCGCGCCGGCCGAUCCCACCUGUGGGGCUGCGCGGCCCAGUGCACUCUGCCUGGCACAAUAGGCGUGAAUCACCGCAAGGAGGAACUGGCCUUGUUGGAGCAGAAGGUCACUGGGCCCCAUCCUCCCACUGCUGCUCGAAUAAUAUGCGUAACACGUAGUGCCGCAGUCGCUGCUGGGAUUGAAUACGCUCAAGCAUAGAUUUUGUGGCCUUAUUACCCAAAAGGCUCCUGGCUUCUCUCCUUGACUGAAAAUUUCCUAAAGAGGUCAUAAUUCUAGAACACAGUUCAUCUGGCACAUUUCUGAAAUUCCAAGUGCAACCUGCAACCUGAUGCCUUUCAUCAAGUACUUCUAAGAGAUUGUGUCAAGAUUUGAGAGCAACAAGGUAGAACUUUAUUAGAAAUACUCUGAGAAAUAGUCUCACAAGAGUUUCUGCCAAUUUACCUUCCUCACUAAUGAAAAUCACCUACAACAAGCAAUAACUCAUCAAACUCAUCAACUACUACUACUAAACAUCGAGGGGGACCUAAUACCGCCAACUGAGAUAACUGUGCAGAUCCAUCUGGAAAGCAUCUUUGGUGUCUGAGUUCACUCAAAACUGUCCUGCUCAGGCAGACUUCACCUUGAGUACUAAUAUUCAGAGUUUGUGAUCCGUUGUCACUGGAAGGCAACACAUUCUAUCUUGUAUGGACUGCUUUUUAAGAACUGAUACUGGGCUUAGCAUUCAAGGAAGAAAAAAGAACUGGCCUUGAAGAAAUUUCUUUGAGGCAUGUAGAAUAGGCCUCCAUUUGUAUAGCUAAACUAAAUCUGUUGACAUUAAUAGAAUUCUACUUAAUUGCUUCUCUUCACAUCUAUUUAAUGCUAGUAGGUUUAUUUACCAUUUAAUUUACUGAGCUCUCACAAACUUAUUUAAUUAGAACAUUAUUAUUCGUUUACAAGGCAUUCUUCCCUUACUAUUACAUAUUUUAUUAGACACAGA